rnacentral:rRNA from 1 species
GGCACUACGGUGCUGAAGCAACAAAUGCCCUGCUUCCAGGAAAAGCCUCUAAGCAUCAGGUAACAUCAAAUCGUACCCCAAACCGACACAGGUGGUCAGGUAGAGAAUACCAAGGCGCUUGAGAGAACUCGGGUGAAGGAACUAGGCAAAAUGGUGCCGUAACUUCGGGAGAAGGCACGCUGAUAUGUAGGUGAAGUCCCUCGCGGAUGGAGCUGAAAUCA